rnacentral:rRNA from 1 species
AUUGAACGCUGGCGGCAGGCCUAACACAUGCAAGUCGAACGAGUGGCGGACGGGUGAGUAAUGUCUGGGAACCUGCCUGAUGGAGGGGGAUAACUAAUGGAAAAGGUAGCUAAUACCGCAUACCAUCGGAUGUGCCCAGCUGGGAUUAGCUAGCAGGUUGGGUAAAGGCUCACCUACGCGACGAUCCCUAGCUGGUCUGAGAGGAGGACCCGCCAAGCUGGAACUGAGACACGGUCCAGACUCCUACGGUAGGCAGCAGUGGGGAAUAUUGCACAAGGGGCGGAAGCCUGAUGCAGCCAUGCCGCGUGUAUGAAGAAGGCCUUCGGGUUGUAAAGUACUUUCAGCGGGGAGGCGUUACCCGCAGAAGAAGCACCGGCUAACUCCGUGCCAGCAGCCGCGGUAAUUC